rnacentral:rRNA from 1 species
GUAGGUGGCAAGCGUUGUCCGGAAUUAUUGGGCGUAAAGCGCGCGCAGGCGGUCCUUUAAGUCUGAUGUGAAAGCCCACGGCUCAACCGUGGAGGGUCAUUGGAAACUGGGGGACUUGAGUACAGAAGAGGAAAGCGGAAUUCCAAGUGUAGCGGUGAAAUGCGUAGAGAUUUGGAGGAACACCAGUGGCGAAGGCGGCUUUCUGGUCUGUAACUGACGCUGAGGCGCGAAAGCGUGGGGAGCAAACAGGAUUAGAUACCCUGGUAGUCCACGCCGUAAACGAUGAGUGCUAAGUGUUAGGGGGUUUCCCGCCCCCUUAGUGCUGCAGCUAACGCAUUAAGCACUCCGCCUGGGGAGUACGGCGCAAGGCUG